UUUGGAGUCUGCGCAUUGUUGAGUGGGACAAGGUGGUGUAGUUAAUGGUGUCGGUCAUUAGAAAGAAUAUUUUUUGAAGUAACUGUGGUGUAAAAAGCGAGGCGGAACAUCGUACUGCUUUUGCGAAGUGAUUUGUGUGGCUGAGUACCAAAAUAUCCUGAAUGUGCGUACUAUUACCCCAAAAUAAAAGACCAUAGGAUAUGUUACUGUGAAGAAAAGCAAAAAGAAGAAAAGCAAAAAGGCUGUUCUUACAUAACCCAAAGGAAAUCACAACAGCUGCUCGUGUCUUUUUGAGGGCAUCCAAAAGAAAUAUUGAAAUUUCAGCUGAAAACUUCACGGAAAGUUUUCAAACUAACAGUCGUCUCUUUAUUAGACUCAUUGUAUAUUCUGUAUAGUUUGGCUUCAAGUAGCCCUUCGGGUAAAAGUUGUAUAGCUGCUGUUGAUCACCAUGUCACACUCAAAGCCAGAGCAAAGUUGCCCUGACACAGACGAGCUGAUGCUGGCCGGGUAUACGAGAGUGGAGAGUAUGUGGUCCCACUUAGACACACGAAUGCAAACGAUAGACACCUCGCUUGCCACAACGUCUACAAAGCUGCAAGACAUAAAGGCAUGGCUCAUCAGGGAGAAUAAGGAGCAGCGGAAGAAGGCAGCCCAGAUUAACAGGGAGCUGCAAAACUUGCAGGAAAAUUUCAUGUGGGCUGACGAGUCACUGUCAACAGAUGACUCCAGACUGCAGAACGAGAUUACCCUGCUGACCAGAGAGAAGAGGGAGUUGCUGAAGAGGAUGGGCGUGUUCAUGGUUGUGAAAAAAGAGCUGCUGAAGAUGCUGGCCCUCCACAAGAAGACUAUGAAGAAGAGGACUUUGGUGAUGGAGCUCAUGGAGUCAGCAGACAACCAUUGGUCGCGUGUACGUAAGUCCCUAUUACACCAUAGGCGUGAGAACUGCAAACAGAAUGAUGAAAACCUUGUCCCUGACACAGAUACAGAUUGAGAGCUGGAAUGCAUGCAACAUAAGAGAAUCAUUACAUCAUACCAAAAAAUUAUUUCAAAAAUGCUAGAAAAAUGAGGAUGACUCUUAGUGCCAGCUUUACAUAUACACUUGGUUCUAAUUUUGUAUUGCUUGCUUAUUGUGUAUGAUUGGCAUUUGAACUGUAAUUUCUUUUUUAUGUUUUAAUGGUGAAUAUGCUUUUUUGCUGCUAUGGAAAAUGAGAUAAUUUCCUGUAGAGAAUAAAAGUGCUGUAGUUGGUCAAAAAAAGUAUAUUAAAAAUAUGAU